rnacentral:tRNA from 2 species
GCAUCCAUGGCUGAAUGGUUAAAGCGCCCAACCUAAUAAGAGGAAAGUAGGUUCGAUUCCUGCUGGAUGCA